ACACUCCUGCGGGAGGCAGCAGUGGGGAAUAUUGGACAAUGGGCGCAAGCCUGAUCCAGCCAUGCCGCGUGAGUGAUGAAGGCCCUAGGGUUGUAAAGCUCUUUCACCGGUGAAGAUAAUGACGGUAACCGGAGAAGAAGCCCCGGCUAACUUCGUGCCAGCAGCCGCGGUAAUACGAAGGGGGCUAGCGUUGUUCGGAUUUACUGGGCGUAAAGCGCACGUAGGCGGACUAUUAAGUCAGGGGUGAAAUCCCGGGGCUCAACCCCGGAACUGCCUUUGAUACUGGUAGUCUUGAGUUCGAGAGAGGUGAGUGGAAUUCCGGGUGUAGAGGUGAAAUUCGUAGAUAUUCGGAGGAACACCAGUGGCGAAGGCGGCUCACUGGCUCGAUACUGACGCUGAGGUGCGAAAGCGUGGGGAGCAAACAGUAUUAGAAACCCCGGUAGUCCCAUG
rnacentral:rRNA from 1 species